rnacentral:lncRNA from 1 species
AUGGGUUCUUUUCUUUCCUUCCUUCCUUCCUUCCUUCCUUCCUUCCUUCCUUCCUUCCUUCCUUCCUUUCUUUCUUUCUCUUUCUUUCUUUUUGAGAUGGAGUCUCGCUUUGUCACCCAGGUUGGAAUGCAGUGGCAUGAUCUCGGCUCACUUCAAGCUCUGCCUCCCGGGUUCACACCAUUCUCCUGCCUCAGCCUCGCGAGUAGCUGGGACUACAGCUCUUUUGAAAUACACAGUAUAUUGCUGUUAACUGCAGCCACCCUGAAGGUGCCUUUGUAGCUUGAAGUUCAACCAGCUGUUUAUGGAACCAUCUCCUUCUCAGGCCUCUGAAGGGCUUGCUCUCCUCUUUGCAGCGAUGGGCAGACUGCAGCAGAAAGCUGCACGAAACAUGCCUGGCCUCUACGCAACUCUACCACAGCUUGCUGAAGCUUACCCACAGUCUACGUGAAGUAAAUGUUUUCAGAAUAUUCUGCGUGUUUAGCCUAAGGCAUUGUUCCCCUUUGCUGGUCUACAGGGACUAAAGAAACACCGUCAAUCAGAGAUGAUCUAGGGUGGAACUGUCAGCCAUUGGCAGUGGCUCCUCAGAGUUUUGCUUGUGACUCAUGACAACAGCUUGCCAGGGGGAAGGGGAAGGAAAUCAUCUGGAAAACACCCUUAAUAAAACUGAAAGAAACAUUCUGGGAAAGAGGGGAAAAAAAGUGAAAAUAAAGGCAAAACAAAGGCAAGGUCUCCUUAGGAUCCCAGUAAGUCCCGACUCAACAUUUUCAUUGACAGUGGAAAGAACCUAGAGCUUGAAGUUCUAAUUCCUGUCUCUGCCACUUAUUGGCUGAAUGCCACUGGAGAUGUCUCUUCCCAAUUCUCAUAAUUUAAAAGCCCCACAGAGGCACAGAAUAUCUCUGUCUUUUUCAGAGCUGUAUUCUCAGUGACACACAUGGAUUAACUGCUCAAUAAAUAUUUAUUUAAUGAACAAAUGAGUAACUUAGCAAACCUCCCUUUGCUUCAAUUCUCUUAUUUGUUAAAUAGCAUUAUGAAUACAUAGACCCUAGGGCCAUUCUAUAUAGUCAAUGGGCUAACGAACACUGCACAGAACACAGGAGGUCCUUAAUAAAUAGAGAUUGCAAUGAAUGCAAAUGAAUAUACCAGUGAAGAUAUUUUUGUUCAUAAUCAAAUGGCUUAUUCAUUUCAUGUACAGGCAUUACCUUAUGUUAAGUCUUUUUAGUAGCAUGUUUUGAUUAUCUUUUAAUAGUCCUAAAGGGAAAAGAAUUAACCUAAGGAAAAUGUAUCACUGUUUUAGCUUUAAGCUCAUGUCGUAACUAAUUGCUCC